rnacentral:rRNA from 1 species
CAGUAGCCGCGGUAAAACGAAGGGGGCUAGCGUUGCUCGGAAUCACUGGGCGUAAAGGGUGCGUAGGCGGGUCUUUAAGUCAGGGGUGAAAUCCUGGAGCUCAACUCCAGAACUGCCUUUGAUACUGAGGACCUUGAGUAUGGGAGAGGUGAGUGGAAUUUCCGGUGUAGCGGUGAAAUGCGUAGAUAUCGGAAGGAACACCUGUGGCGAAAGCGGCUCACUGGACCAUAACUGACGCUGAUGCACGAAAGCUAGGGGAGCAAACAGGAUUAGAUACCCCUGUAGUCCCUGUCUCUUAUAA